ensembl:lncRNA
GGUGCACAGAGCAAACUGCUCGCUUUAGUUGUGGAGCAAAAACGCUGAAUUCGGUGACAUAAACCGUGCGAGUGGAACGAUAACGACGACAAGAGUCUCCCGAUCGUUUACUCUUUGUGUCCUGUGAACAACAACGGCGUGGUGUUACUUGUUUGCUGUUUUCGCGAUCGCGUCGCGCAUGAGGAUAUCACCAGGUAAACUCGCCACAUUUUUAAACAUUUUGUUGUUCAACAGCAUCAAGACUGACGGAGUGUGUUUGAGACAACCUCACAAGUGUCACAGAUGACACAUUUGGCGUUUUUUUGCUGGUUUGUCGGUAGCAGCUCCUGAAACGCAAGACUGCCACACAUCUGUUCGACCAACGCCAGUUGAUCUAAACGCCAGUUGAUCUGGAACAACGGCAGAUGCUUUUGGACCUUCGUUUUUCUCAAUCUCAUGACUCGGACUCACGAUGGACCUUUGGAGGCGCCAGCUUGAUGCGCUCGGUCUCAAUCACCAGCGUAUCCUGCCUGCCGCAAGAAACGCUACAGGAAGCGGGGUAAACGGAGCGGCAUUCGUGUCCGCCUUAAGGCUUAUUUUCGAGCUCAAGCUUUGGCUGAUCCAUAUGCUACCAUGGACCUUCUACCUACCUCUUCCUGCUCCCGGCACCGGCUUUCUACUCGAUCACUCAGCUGUCGGUGGAUUUGCUUCGCCGGGCAGCUAGACUACCCCGCCCUCCCAGAGGCAUGCCUACCUAUUCGGACCAUUGACUGUAGAAAACAUGGACGACGCGACAGCUCCCCAAAAAUGAAGCCAAAACGUCUCUAUCGCCCCCUGGUGUCUUGCUGCAGUAUAGGUCAUAAACCCCGCCUCCUCCAUGUUAGCGGAUGGGACUGGGGUCAGACUAAAACAAAUUAAUUCUCCUUAGAUAAUUUUUUUUUCCAAAGAUUCUUUCUUUUGUUUUCAAUAGUUCUCAUCACGCUGAUUGAUGUCCAAGGGGUCUCCUCUCCCAUAAGUUUGAUUCUAAUUCCUACCGCGGUGAUGUUAAAUUGGGGUGAAACGUCAUCAUAAGAGCUUUGACUGACAGCUGCAGUCACGGAAAAACUUGCGUAUCUCUGUUCGGGAAUAGCAGAUAGAGCGUAGGCUCUGAGAGGACGCCCAGCGUUUACAGUACGAAAACACGACCGAGUGUUUUAACCUGACAGCCUGAGGUGUUCUUCAGUAAACUGGACUACCCGACAGAAGGACCCGAGGCCCCGCUGCACUUUUUCGGUAAGUUAAACGUGUUUGUAAGCUAAUCCGUAACUACCGUCCUUAGCUAGCUCCUGAGACCUAGCUAGCUAAGAUGAGCACUCGGCUGUCAGGGUUCGUUUAGCUGUGCAGGUGAAUGAAUUUACUAAAGAAAUCAAGAGAAACGCCCCAGGCUGCUCAGUCACUAAUUACUGUUACUGUACUUUUAUUACAAGUAUUAUACUGUAAAAGCAACAGGCUGCACCCUGCUUCAGCUCCUGUGCAGAGCUGAAUGUUAAAUAUGUGCAAACAACAGCAUGUUUUCAGUCUCUUGCCACAUCUGUAAAGACAGUAACUUUUUUUUUUAAAAGCUUGUACUUCAGUAACUCCUUACUUAUGAUUAAGUAAGUGAAUCCUAAUGUCCUAAAGUGCUCUCAGUUCAAUACAACCCUGUAACAGCAAGUUGAGACAACAACACAUUCCUAUAGGCCCACGUUAUAUCGAGAUAUGUGUUGACAAGUUCUCGUGCAAACAUUCUUUUCUCGCCCUUCAAACAAGACACACAGGCAGGUAGGGCUGCAACAAACUAUUUAAACUAACACUCUUUUUAUUGCUGUCAUAUAAUACAUCUGUUUUAUUUGUAAAGUAUGAAACAAACAAAGUUUAAAUCUUUCCUUUUUUUGAUAUUACAUGUUGGCUUUGGCACAUAUUAUUUCUCGUUCACUGACUUGUGAACACUGUUUGUGAUCUGUCUUGUUUCUCUGUUCAAAUAAAAUAAAACUAACUAAGUACACUUUUAAAACUUUUUUCUUUUAUUCAUUUUUAUUUGAAUUCAAUUCAAUUUUAUUUAUAUAGCGCCUAAUCACAACAACAGUUGCCUCAAGGCGCUUUCUAUUGUAAGGUAGACCCUACAAUAGUACAGAACCCAACAAUCAUAUGACCCCCUGUGAGCAAGCACUUUGGCGACAGUGGGAAGGAAAAACUCCCUUUUAACAGGAAGAAACCUCCAGCAGAACCAGGCUCAGGGAGGGGCGGCCAUCUGCUGCGACCGGUUGGGGUGAGAGAAGGAAGACGGGAUAAAGGACAGAAAAAUGUUAUAAUGUAAUGUGGUGAAAUUAUUAUCAACCAGGUGGUUCAUGAGACAAUUAUUUUAAAGUAGUCUGGUUUUAACAUUAACAAUGAAGAAUUAUAAUAAAAAUGUAAUGCAUCUAGGCUACGUCCACAUGUACCCAGGUAUUUUUGAAAACGCAGCUUUUUAGAUGCAGGUGUCAGGUAAACUUUAACGUGCUCGUGAGAAAACCCUAGAGAAGAAAUUAGGUCUCUUCAAUGGGGCAUUUCUUUUGAAACUUUUGACAAUCACGUUUUCAAUAUUGUCUUGGCCAUUAAACAUUAACUCCAGGACAGUGUUUGGAUUUUUCCACUUUUGCCGGAGUUCAUUGUACACUUUCACACUGACUUCUUCAGUGUUCUCUAAGGACAUUUUAAGCUUUUGGGACAAAAUUUUAGCCCAAAUCCUGUGGGUAAACCUGUUCAUGAUGGCUUUAUCUGCACCUGGAGGCAAUUUCCCUGCCUCAUUUGCGUUGCUUAUAGCGUGCAGAACCAAAUCUUUAGUGAAGCUUUCAACAACUUUUACGUACUCUUCUCGGUUUUUAUAUAUAGUGAGUACUCUUUUUGGUAAGGCCAACAGGUGUUUUGUAAAUGUUGGGACAGUAAUAUCGUCAAGCCGUUCGCUCAGAUAUAAAAUCAAAUACUUCUCCCUGCAGUUAUGUGCUUUGCAAAGAUUGGUGAAAAUGUCCUUGUUGAUAUUGGUCAGCCUUUUUGGAGAUAGAUCCAAAUCCCUCUCGUCAAUCUGAGGCCAGAUUUUUUUCAAGCAGACGAUCGCUGAUAGAGUCGGAGUUGUGGCACCGUGUGAAGUCCUUGUAUUUAGACGAGGCUUUGCCUGCGGCCUCUGAAACUACCAACUGAAUAACUUUGUAAACACACAUCUUUUCUUCAGACAGAUAAUCAGAUGCCAGAGUGACAUCAUAAGAACCAAAAUCUGAAUCAGACUUACGGACUGACCUAUGUAGUGUUUUCUUCACAGGCUUUUCCAGGGGGGAAGCUUCUAUGUUGUCCAAGUCUUUUGUAUCAGCUGAGUAGUUUUUCUUCGGUUCUACUGUGGCUGCGGUGAGGGUUUGAGGAGAAAACCUCUGGGAUGACACAGACGCUUCUUCCUCAGAUGACUCACAGCUGAAACCUAUUAAAAUAUCUGGAUAUAUGCAAGGUGGUGCAGGUACACGAUGCAGUGUUAGAAUUUCUCUGUUUUCACUGUCAUCUGUGGAUGUUUCAUCAAGACUGCUCUCCUCUGCAGUCAAAUGCAGCUUGAGGUUUUUUGAGUCUGAAGAGUCCUCCAGUCCUGGAGUUUCUGUUUCUUCAUUAUCACCGUGGUCAUCUACAGAAAUUUCUUUCAGGAUGCUGUCCUUUGCUCCUGUUUCUUCUGUUUUCUCAGGGGACUCUGUGUGCACUGAGUGAAGAGAAGGCUCAUUAUUCUGCGUGGACACUGCAUCUCCCUUCUCCACAGUUGUGUCCAUUGCAUCCACUAACAUGGAACAAAGUUUCAACAUGUCUUUCAGCAAAGUGGAAGGCAGCUCAGUGUUGCAGUACUCUGGGUUGAACUGCAGAGAUUGCCACUGUGGUACAAUUGUACCAAAAAAGUGGUCACUUAAGGACUUCCAUGUUUCCACUGAGGUGUUACUGUGUGGAGUUGUCAUGUUUAAGUUUGUAUUACUAUUUCUCUGACUCUGAAAUGUAGAAGAGGAAAUAAAUUGUUGGCUGGUUGGAGUUGGACUAGGCAUGUGUGCUCUUUGUAAACCAAAUGCUUGAGAGUCUGGACGGCUCCUUUAUAUAGGUUUAAGCCCCGCCCACGUUCGGCUGCAGCCACUGUGACGUCAUCCACUUUCCUUUGAAGUUGAACCUUCAAAGGUUUGGGGGCGGGGUUUAAGCUAAUCUCUGACACAGCUGCAUGACAUUUAAAUGGCAUAAACUAUUAAUUUAAAUUACCCAUUGUAAAUGUUGUUCUUAAAGCAGACUGGUUAAUAAUAAUUUCACCACAUGAUAUUUUCAAAUUAUUUUGUAUUUGCUUAAAUAAAUGCAUAAUUCAAAGACAAGUUCGGUGAUUUUUCAUUGUAUAUCAAAUUACAGUUGGACAUUUUAGGUGUUCCCUAAAUUUUAAUGUAGGUGUAACCCAGUGUUAAUUUGGUUAUCUGAUAUUGUGUGAUAUUCAGUAUAUAUGUAUAUAUCUAUAUUGAGUGUUAUAAAAUGUUCUUCAAUGAUUUUGAGUUGUUUUUUUUUAAAUUGCUAUUGGUUUGCGGCUGCUUUACGACAGUCCACUGUGGUAGUACAUCCUAGCGGGAGGGGCUAUGAGCUCACGUGGCUUGUAGCUGUGCCAGAGAGCAAGCUUGGGUAAUAUCUCUGUUAAACAAGAAGUCACAUACUUGGGACUGCUAAUAUCCAAAGACCAAAAAUCAAGAUGCUCUUCAAACUUCACUCCAAUUAUACAGAAAACCCUAAAAAAGUUCAACCAGUGGCUGCAAAGGGACUUGUCUUUGAAAGGUAGAGUGUUAAUUACUAAAGCAGAAGGGAUAUCCCGAUUAACAUAUGCUGCUCUCUCCUUACAUCUGGAUAAGAAAAUUAGUAAAGAUAUUGACCGUAUGCUCUUUAAUUUUAUAUGGAAAAACCGUACGCAUUAUAUUAGAAAAACUGUUGUGAUGAAUAAGUACGAAUCAGGUGGGCUUAACGUCUUAGACUUUUCUACUUUAAAUAACACUUUCAAAAUUAAUUGGGCUAAACAUUUUCUUAAAAACCCUACCUCUAUCUGGAACUUUAUACCAUAUUAUAUUUUCUCUUGUUUUGGUGGCUUUAAUUUUGUUUUAAAUUGUAAUUACAAUGUUGAGAAACUCCCUGUAAAGCUUUCAUCCUUCCAUAAGCAGGUCCUCUUAGCGUGGACCCUCAUUUAUAAACACAACUUCUCACCUCACAAAUACCUUAUCUGGAACAACAGGGAUAUUUUAUAUAAAAAUAAAUCACUUUUCCUGGAAACUUGGAUCCAAAAUGGGAUCCUAUUGGUGGCUCAGCUGGUUAAUAAAGAGGGACAACUACUUACUUACAACGACUUUAUUGCACUAUAUAAUUUUCCAAUCAGUGUUCAGGAAUUCUCAAUGGUGCUUGGUGCCAUACCCUCAGGGACUUUAAUGUUAUAUAAAAACACUGACAGCUCGAUCUCUACCUCAGUCACUCUCUCUGAUCCAGCUGAGUCACCAAUAGGAAAAAUCUGCUUUUCACAGGAACUUGGUAAUAGCAAUAAAAGAAUACGUAGUUUAUUCCAAGAAGAUAUCGUCUCUCUCCCAUAUAUAAUAUCUUAUUGGAACCGAUUUGUUCCAGAUAUCAAGUGGAAGACAGUCUGGAUGGUCCCCCAUAAAUAUUUGAUUGUAAAUAAGGUAAAAGAAGUCUCAUUUAAAAUUCUACAUAAAUGUUAUCCAGCCAGUCACUACAUGGUAAAAUUUAAAAGGGACAUAAAUACUAAUUGUACUUUCUGUGGGGAUCAUCCAGAAACUGUGACACAUCUUUUUUGGUACUGUUCUUUUACACAGAGAUUCUGGAAGGAAUUUAGCAGGUUUGUUAUUGUCCAUAUUUUAAGGGAGUUUUCUUUACGAUGGGAAGGUCCAGAGAAGGUCCACUGCCAGUUCAGAUAGAGGGGGAGGAGGUGGAGGUGGUCAACAAGUACAAGUACCUCGGGCUGUGGGUGGACAAUAAACUGGACUGGUCAUGCAACACAGAGCACCUGUAUAAAAAAGCCCAAAGCCGACUGUACUUCCUCAGGAGGCUGAGGUCUUUUAACAUCUGCAGGAAGCUCCUGAGGAUGUUUUACCAGUCGGUGGUUGCUGGAGUACUUUUCUAUGCUGUGGUGUGCUGGGGGAGUAGCACAGCAAAGAAGGACUCAUCCAGGCUGGAGAAACUGAUCAGGAGGGCUAGCUCUGUGGUCGGCAUGAAGCUGGACACUCUGGUGACAGUGGCAGAGAAAAGGACAUUAAAGAAACUGAUGGACAUUAUGGACAAUGCUGGGCAUCCUCUGCACACGGCCAUAAACAAUCAGAAGAGUCUGUUCAGUGACAGGUUGCUUCUCCCCAAGACAAGAACUAACAGACUUAAAAACUCCUUUGUCCCACACGCCAUCAGACUGUUUAACUCCUCUCUGGAGGGGAGAGGGAGGGGAAACAGGAGGACAAAGGAGGGGGGAACAACUAAGCUGUAGUGCCUCUGCACCUCACUGUACAAUACCUUGUGCAAUACUUUUUGUAAAUAGUCAACAGUGCAAUAGACCUCAAUACUUGAAAUGUGCAAUUCACUUGUAUUUUUAUUUUUUAUUCCUAUUUAUUCUAUUUAUCCCCUUUGUAUAUUUUAUUUAUAUUUGUCUCUGUAUUUAUAUAUGUGUGUGUGUGUGUGUGUGUGUAUAUAUAUAUAUAUAACAGUUCUGUAACUGUAACUUCGGUCGUUGCUGUGCUUUUUUUGGAAGUCGAAUUUCCCAGAGGAACCCACCCGAGGGAUUAAUAAAGUUCUAUCUUAUCUUAUCUUAUCUUAUCUUAUUUGUCAUUUGCCUGACAGUUAAAGACAACCUGAGCUCGUUUCACAGCUUCCUUUGUGUCUCUGUAGGUUUCAUUUCUAAGUAGCCACGAUGCCAGAGAGCGAUAGACCUCAAUACACUUGGAUGUCUCUUUUAUUAAGCUGUAUCUCUGUGAGCUUCUUCAUCAUGUUUAUUGUUCAGGGGAUAAUUGGAUGCAUAUACAUUCACGACUGUCCAGCGGAUCCCUUCAUUCCUAUCGCAAUGGUUAUUUCUGGAUUCAUUUCUUUCUUCUGGGCAUUGAGCUGGUGUAAGAAUGGAUGCAGAAUUUUCUGCUACUGUAUCAUCUCCAUUCUCUUUUUUAUCUGGUUCGUAGGUACUGUACAUGUCUACUGCAACUACAUCCUGAACCAUACUCCAGAAACCGAUCUCAAAUGCAACAUGUAUUUCCACCUGUUUGCAUUUUGGUGCAGUAACGUGACCUACAUCCUGAUAGCCAUUCAUAUUUCCUGUCUUAUUACUGCUUGCUGCAACAACCGGAUGGAGGCUUACGAGAUUUCUGAUGAGGCUCGGCCACUGCUGUGGCGCUAAUCAUAUCACAUAUGUAUGUAUGUAUGUAUGUAUGUAUGUAUGUAUGUAUGUAUGUAUGUAUGUAUGUUUGUUUGUUUGUUUGUUUGUUUGUUUGUAUGUUUGUUUGUUUGUUUGUUUGUUUGUUUGUUUGUUUGUUUCCCAUCUCCCCUUAGACAAGUGGACCAAUACUGAUGAGAAAGAUUAGAAUGGGGUCACAAUAAAAUAUAUCACACAGUAAUAAACAUAUACUACUACAACUACAAAUAAUAAUGACACUGACUAAAAUAAAAUCAUAAGCAAACAACAGGAAAAAUAUACUAAUAUUUUCAUGUGUGCUUUAUUUAGAACAUCAUAUAUUUAAUGUUGGUUAAUCUAGCAACAUGUAGUUUUUGAUCUUUUGUUAGAGAAAUCUUAUGAUUAACAAUUCAUGUUUAAUCUUUAGAGGUAGAGAUUUGAUAGGGUGUUCUUUUCUAAUAUUUUCAUGUGUGUGCGCAUGCACGGGUAUGUUGGUAUGGGUAUAUAUAUAAUUGUAGGUUGUGUAUCCUUGAGGUGUUAAUGGGGUUAUUGAAAAUGUGUAUAUGUGCGUAUGUGUGUAUAUACGUAUGUAUGGAUAGAUAGAAACAUAUAUGUGUAUAUAUUUAAAAAAAAUUACACAUUACAUAUAAUGUAAUUGCAAGGAGGUAUUUCUGUAGUCUAUUGAUACUAGAUAGUGGAAAAGGGGUGGGAUUAAAUAAGCUUAUGCUUCUUCCUGCUCCUUUUUGAACAUGGACGUUAUUUGGAGUUGUGGUUGCUCGUUUUCCUUUUGUUUGCUUUGUUCAUUUGUCUCUUUUAAUUCUAUUUUUUUUAUACUUUUUCAACAUGUUCAAAAUAAAGAAUCAAUC